GCAGUGGUGGUUCAGUAGUAGAAUUCUCAUCUUUUAUGUGGGAGACCAGGGUUCCAUUCCUGGCCAGUGGA
rnacentral:tRNA from 1 species